CUCUUCGGUUAAUACCCGGAGACGAUGACAUUAGCUGCAGAAUAAGCACCGGCUAACUCUGUGCCAGCAGCCGCGGUAAUACAGAGGGUGCAAGCGUUAAUCGGAAUUACUGGGCGUAAAGCGAGCGUAGGUGGCUUGAUAAGUCAGAUGUGAAAUCCCCGGGCUUAACCUGGGAACUGCAUCUGAAACUGUUAGGCUAGAGUAGGUGAGAGGGAAGUAGAAUUUCAGGUGUAGCGGUGAAAUGCGUAGAGAUCUGAAGGAAUACCGAUGGCGAAGGCAGCUUCCUGGCAUCAUACUGACACUGAGGCUCGAAAGCGUGGGUAGCAAACAGGAUUAGAUACCCUGGUAGUCCACGCCGUAAACGAUGUC
rnacentral:rRNA from 1 species